GAGCACUGUUUCGGCUAGGGGGCCAUCCCGGCUUACCAACCCGAUGCAAACUGCGAAUACCGGAGAAUGUUAUCACGGGAGACACACGGCGGGUGCUAACGUCCGUCGUGAAGAGGGAAACAACCCAGACCGCCAGCUAAGGUCCCAAAGUCAUGGUUAAGUGGGAAACGAUGUGGGAAGGCCCAGACAGCCAGGAUGUUGGCUUAGAAGCAGCCAUCAUUUAAAGAAAGCGUAAUAGCUCACUGGUCGAGUCGGCCUGCGCGGAAGAUGUAACGGGGCUAAACCAUGCACCGAAGCUGCGGCAGCGACGCUGAUGCGUUGUUGGGUAGGGGAGCGUUCUGUAAGCCUGCGAAGGUGGCCUGUGAGGGUUGCUGGAGGUAUCAGAAGUGCGAAUGCUGACAUAAGUAACGAUAAAGCGGGUGAAAAGCCCGCUCGCCGGAAGACCAAGGGUUCCUGUCCAACGUUAAUCGGGGCAGGGUGAGUCGACCCCUAAGGCGAGGCCGAAAGGCGUAGUCGAUGGGAAACGGGUUAAUAUUCCCGUACUUGGUGUUACUGCGAAGGGGGGACGGAGAAGGCUAUGUUGGCCGGGCGACGGUUGUCCCGGUUUAAGCGUGUAGGUGUGUGUUCCAGGUAAAUCCGGUUCACUUUAACACUGAGGCGUGAUGACGAGGCACUACGGUGCUGAAGCAACAAAUGCCCUGCUUCCAGGAAAAGCCUCUAAGCAUCAGGUAACAUCAAAUCGUACCCCAAACCGACACAGGUGGUCAGGUAGAGAAUACCAAGGCGCUUGAGAGAACUCGGGUGAAGGAACUAGGCAAAAUGGUGCCGUAACUUCGGGAGAAGGCACGCUGACACGUAGGUGAAGUGAUUUACUCAUGGAGCUGAAGUCAGUCGAAGAUACCAGCUGGCUGCAACUGUUUAUUAAAAACACAGCACUGUGCAAACACGAAAGUGGACGUAUACGGUGUGACGCCUGCCCGGUGCCGGAAGGUUAAUUGAUGGGGUCAGCGCAAGCGAAGCUCCUGAUCGAAGCCCCGGUAAACGGCGGCCGUAACUAUAACGGUCCUAAGGUAGCGAAAUUCCUUGUCGGGUAAGUUCCGACCUGCACGAAUGGCGUAAUGAUGGCCAGGCUGUCUCCACCCGAGACUCAGUGAAAUUGAACUCGCUGUGAAGAUGCAGUGUACCCGCGGCAAGACGGAAAGACCCCGUGAACCUUUACUAUAGCUUGACACUGAACAUUGAGCCUUGAUGUGUAGGAUAGGUGGGAGGCUUUGAAGUGUGGACGCCAGUCUGCAUGGAGCCGGCCUUGAAAUACCACCCUUUAAUGUUUGAUGUUCUAACGUGGACCCGUGAUCCGGGUUGCGGACAGUGUCUGGUGGGUAGUUUGACUGGGGCGGUCUCCUCCUAAAGAGUAACGGAGGAGCACGAAGGUUGGCUAAUCCUGGUCGGACAUCAGGAGGUUAGUGCAAUGGCAUAAGCCAGCUUGACUGCGAGCGUGACGGCGCGAGCAGGUGCGAAAGCAGGUCAUAGUGAUCCGGUGGUUCUGAAUGGAAGGGCCAUCGCUCAACGGAUAAAAGGUACUCCGGGGAUAACAGGCUGAUACCGCCCAAGAGUUCAUAUCGACGGCGGUGUUUGGCACCUCGAUGUCGGCUCAUCACAUCCUGGGGCUGAAGUAGGUCCCAAGGGUAUGGCUGUUCGCCAUUUAAAGUGGUACGCGAGCUGGGUUUAGAACGUCGUGAGACAGUUCGGUCCCUAUCUGCCGUGGGCGCUGGAGAACUGAGGGGGGCUGCUCCUAGUACGAGAGGACCGGAGUGGACGCAUCACUGGUGUUCGGGUUGUCAUGCCAAUGGCACUGCCCGGUAGCUAAAUGCGGAAGAGAUAAGUGCUGAAAGCAUCUAAGCACGAAACUUGCCCCGAGAUGAGUUCUCCCUGAGACUUAGAGUCUC
rnacentral:rRNA from 1 species